AUGUUCAAUACCUGCAGAGGCCGGGAAGGGGUUGAAGAGGGCAGCUCGUGGAGUGUUCCGUUGAGCUGGUUAAAGCUGACAUCAAGUAUGGUGAUGCUGCUGGACGACACCAAUUCCAGCGGUAGGCCACCGGACAGCGAGUUGCACGACAGGUUGAGGCGCAAGAGGCUGGUGAGGUUGCCAAGGAACGGCGAGACGGACCCCUCGAGGCCUCGAGAAGCCAGUGAAACAUCAGUGACCGCCCUAUCGGGACUCCUGCAGGCGAUCCCUUCCCACUUGCAGCAAUCCGUGCCGUUCUGCCAUGAAGCAGCGAGGCCAUCGUCUUGUGAGAGCUCGGCGAGGAACUGGAGAAGGGAGACCUCCUCAUGCUUCGAGCAGGAACUGGUGAGAGAGGCCAAGGUGAUCAGCAGCACAAGAGCAAGGGCAAAUGAAGGAAACGCCACGCAUUCAAAAAGAAACAGUUGGUGGAGAUUUGCAGAUAUCCGAAGGGCGAGAUGUUCAUGGGGAGAUCAUACCGAAAGGUGGGCGUGA
rnacentral:rRNA from 1 species